AGAGUUUGAUCCUGGCUCAGGAUGAACGCUAGCUACAGGCUUAACACAUGCAAGUCGAGGGGCAGCAUGGUCUUAGCUUGCUAAGGCCGAUGGCGACCGGCGCACGGGUGAGUAACACGUAUCCAACCUGCCGUCUACUCUUGGACAGCCUUCUGAAAGGAAGAUUAAUACAAGAUGGCAUCAUGAGUCCACAUGUUCACAUGAUUAAAGGUAUUCCGGUAGACGAUGGGGAUGCGUUCCAUUAGAUAGUAGGCGGGGUAACGGCCCACCUAGUCUUCGAUGGAUAGGGGUUCUGAGAGGAAGGUCCCCCACAUUGGAACUGAGACACGGUCCAAACUCCUACGGGAGGCAGCAGUGAGGAAUAUUGGUCAAUGGGCGAGAGCCUGAACCAGCCAAGUAGCGUGAAGGAUGACUGCCCUAUGGGUUGUAAACUUCUUUUAUAAAGGAAUAAAGUCGGGUAUGCAUACCCGUUUGCAUGUACUUUAUGAAUAAGGAUCGGCUAACUCCGUGCCAGCAGCCGCGGUAAUACGGAGGAUCCGAGCGUUAUCCGGAUUUAUUGGGUUUAAAGGGAGCGUAGAUGGAUGUUUAAGUCAGUUGUGAAAGUUUGCGGCUCAACCGUAAAAUUGCAGUUGAUACUGGAUAUCUUGAGUGCAGUUGAGGCAGGCGGAAUUCGUGGUGUAGCGGUGAAAUGCUUAGAUAUCACGAAGAACUCCGAUUGCGAAGGCAGCCUGCUAAGCUGCAACUGACAUUGAGGCUCGAAAGUGUGGGUAUCAAACAGGAUUAGAUACCCUGGUAGUCCACACGGUAAACGAUGAAUACUCGCUGUUUGCGAUAUACAGCAAGCGGCCAAGCGAAAGCGUUAAGUAUUCCACCUGGGGAGUACGCCGGCAACGGUGAAACUCAAAGGAAUUGACGGGGGCCCGCACAAGCGGAGGAACAUGUGGUUUAAUUCGAUGAUACGCGAGGAACCUUACCCGGGCUUAAAUUGCAGAUGAAUUACGGUGAAAGCCGUAAGCCGCAAGGCAUCUGUGAAGGUGCUGCAUGGUUGUCGUCAGCUCGUGCCGUGAGGUGUCGGCUUAAGUGCCAUAACGAGCGCAACCCUUGUUGUCAGUUACUAACAGGUUCCGCUGAGGACUCUGACAAGACUGCCAUCGUAAGAUGUGAGGAAGGUGGGGAUGACGUCAAAUCAGCACGGCCCUUACGUCCGGGGCUACACACGUGUUACAAUGGGGGGUACAGAGGGCCGCUACCACGCGAGUGGAUGCCAAUCCCCAAAACCUCUCUCAGUUCGGACUGGAGUCUGCAACCCGACUCCACGAAGCUGGAUUCGCUAGUAAUCGCGCAUCAGCCACGGCGCGGUGAAUACGUUCCCGGGCCUUGCACACACCGCCCGUC
rnacentral:rRNA from 1 species